CGCUGGAGAACUGAGGGGGGCUGCUCCUAGUACGAGAGGAUCGGAGUGGACGCAUCACUGGUGUUCGGGUUGUCAUGCCAAUGGCACUGCCCGGUAGCUAAAUGCGGAAGAGAUAAGUGCUGAAAGCAUCUAAGCACGAAACUUGCCCCGAGAUGAGUUCUCCCUGACUCCUUGAGAGUCCUGAAGGAACGUUGAAGACGACGACGUUGAUAGGCCGGGUGUGUAAGCGCAGCGAUGCGUUGAGCUAACCGGUACUAAUGAACCGUGAGGCUUAACCUUACAACGCCGAAGCUGUU
rnacentral:rRNA from 1 species